rnacentral:lncRNA from 1 species
UUGUGUUACCAACCCUAUGAUCUUCAUUUUUCCAAUCACCUCUAUGCAUCUUCUUGGAAGAAACAAGAUGAAGAUAGUAUUAUGAAGCAAGUAAAACUCAAAAAACAAUAAUUAUAUUAUACUCCAUUAUUAAUUAGGGCCACAACCACCCAAACCAGAGAUGAUGAUCACCAUAAUACUACUAACAUUAAGAUGAUGGAAAUUAAAAGUAAUAAGAUUAGUAGUUCCAUAACUAAUUAAAAACUCUCCGAUGUACAAGAAGGAAGGUAGGCCAUUUGGUACAAAAUUGUGAUCUAUCCAUCUUCUUCUUCACUAGCUAGUAUUUACAAGAAGAUAUAUAGAUGGGGGAUCCAUCAUAUCAUAUCAUAUUCAUAGAUUCAUAAUCUAGCUAGGUACCUAAUAUAUAGUAUCUAAUGGAUGAAUGAAUGAUUAAUUCAUUCAUGCCAGCAGAUCAGCAUGACAACACAUCUUCGAAUGAUAUAGAGCCUAGCCCUUUGCUGUCUAAGGACUCCUCCAAGUCCUCUGCUUGCAAUUCUUCUCUUGGAUCCUCCCAUGCUGCUACCACUGCUCAUUAUCUUCAUUAGUUUUUUGGGCUUGAGCUUGUGAAUGAUCAAAGUUGAAUUGAAGGGGAAAUAAGUGGAAAGGGGGGGUUCUUAUAGGAAUGGGGAGGCUUCUUGUCUGUAUAGAUUAAUGUAUUGGUCUAGUAAAGAGCC